rnacentral:rRNA from 1 species
GAUGAACGCUGGCGGCGUGCCUAAUACAUGCAAGUCGAGCGAACGGACGAGAAGCUUGCUUCUCUGAUGUUAGCGGCGGACGGGUGAGUAACACGUGGAUAACCUACCUAUAAGACUGGGAUAACUUCGGGAAACCGGAGCUAAUACCGGAUAAUAUUUUGAACCGCAUGGUUCAAAAGUGAAAGAAGGUCUUGCUGUCACUUAUAGAUGGAUCCGCGCUGCAUUAGCUAGUUGGUAAGGUAACGGCUUACCAAGGCAACGAUGCAUAGCCGACCUGAGAGGGUGAUCCGCCACACUGGAACUGAGACACGGUCCAGACUCCUACGGGAGGCAGCAGUAGGGAAUCUUCCGCAAUGGGCGAAAGCCUGACGGAGCAACGCCGCGUGAGUGAUGAAGGUCUUCGGAUCGUAGAACUCUGUUAUUAGGGAAGAACAUAUGUGUAAGUAACUGUGCACAUCUUGACGGUACCUAAUCAGAAAGCCACGGCUAACUACGUG